GGCUGGGUAGCUCAGCUGGGUAGAACCUGGUGGUGAUAACGCCGAGGUUGCAGGUUCGAUUCCCCCCUAGAGGCG